rnacentral:rRNA from 1 species
AGCGAACGCUGGCGGCAGGCUUAACACAUGCAAGUCGAACGGGCACUUCGGUGUCAGUGGCAGACGGGUGAGUAACGCGUGGGAACAUACCUCUUGGUUCGGAACAACACAGGGAAACUUGUGCUAAUACCGGAUAAGCCCUUACGGGGAAAGAUUUAUCGCCGAGAGAUUGGCCCGCGUCUGAUUAGCUAGUUGGUGUGGUAAAGGCGCACCAAGGCGACGAUCAGUAGCUGGUCUGAGAGGAUGAUCAGCCACAUUGGGACUGAGACACGGCCCAAACUCCUACGGGAGGCAGCAGUGGGGAAUAUUGGACAAUGGGCGCAAGCCUGAUCCAGCCAUGCCGCGUGAGUGAUGAAGGCCUUAGGGUUGUAAAGCUCUUUUGUACGGGAAGAUAAUGACGGUACCGUAAGAAUAAGCCCCGGCUAACUUCGUGCCAGCAGCCGCAGUAAAAC